rnacentral:rRNA from 1 species
UACGUAGGUGGCAAGCGUUGUCCGGAAUUAUUGGGCGUAAAGCGCGCGCAGGCGGUUUCUUAAGUCUGAUGUGAAAUCUCGUGGCUCAACCACGAACGGUCAUUGGAAACUGGGAAACUUGAGUACAGAAGAGAAGAGUGGAAUUCCACGUGUAGCGGUGAAAUGCGUAGAGAUGUGGAGGAACACCAGUGGCGAAGGCGACUCUUUGGUCUGUAACUGACGCUGAGGCGCGAAAGCGUGGGGAGCAAACAGGAUUAGAUACCCCU